rnacentral:rRNA from 1 species
AGUGAACGCUGGCGGUAGGCCUAACACAUGCAAGUCGAACGGCAGCACAGUAAGAGCUUGCUCUUACGGGUGGCGAGUGGCGGACGGGUGAGGAAUACAUCGGAAUCUACUUUUUCGUGGGGGAUAACGUAGGGAAACUUACGCUAAUACCGCAUACGACCUACGGGUGAAAGCAGGGGAUCUUCGGACCUUGCGCGAUUGAAUGAGCCGAUGUCGGAUUAGCUAGUUGGCGGGGUAAUGGCCCACCAAGGCGACGAUCCGUAGCUGGUCUGAGAGGAUAAGCAGCCACACUGGAACUGAGACACGGUCCAGACUCCUACGGGAGGCAGCAGUGGGGAAUAUUGGACAAUGGGCGCAAGCCUGGUCCAGCCAUACCGCGUGGGUGAAGAAGGCCUUCGGGUUGUAAAGCCCUUUUGUUGGGAAAGAAAAGCAGCAGGUUAAUCCCCCGCUGUUCUGACGGUACCCAAAGAAUAAGCACCGGCUAACUUCGUG